GUAUGGGGCGAGCGUUGUUCGGAAUUAUUGGGCGUAAAGGGCGUGUAGGCGGUUCUGUAAGCUUGGUGUUAAAACUGCAGGCUUAACCUGUAGGUGGCGCUGGGAACUGCAGGACUAGAGUUCAGGAGGGGGAGCUGGAAUUCCUGGUGUAGGGGUGAAAUCUGUAGAUAUCAGGAAGAACACCGGUGGCGAAGGCGAGCUCCUAGCCAUGGACUGACGCUGAGGCGCGAAAGCGUGGGGAGCGAACAGGGAUUAGAUACCCUGGUAGUCCACGCUGUAAACGAUGUGCACUAGGCGUUGGGUGUGGAUGAAGCACUCGGUGCCGUAGCUAACGCGUUAAGUGCACCGCCUGGGAGUAUGCCCGCAAGGGUA
rnacentral:rRNA from 1 species